GAAUGCGAUCAUACCAGCACUAACGCACCGGAUCCCAUCAGAACUCCGAAGUUAAGCGUGCCAGGACGAGAGUAGUACUAGGAUGGGUGACCCCCUAGGAAGUCCUCGUGUUGCAUCCC
rnacentral:rRNA from 1 species